AUUGAACGCUGGCGGCAUGCCUUACACAUGCAAGUCGAACGGUAACGCGGGGCAACCUGGCGACGAGUGGCGAACGGGUGAGUAACGCAUCGGAACGUGCCCAAUAGGGGGGGAUAGCCCGGCGAAAGCCGGAUUAAUACCGCAUACGACCUAAGGGUGAAAGCGGGGGAUCGCAAGACCUCGCGCUAUUGGACCGGCCGAUGUCAGAUUAGGUAGUUGGUGGGAUAAAGGCCUACCAAGGCGACGAGCUGUAGCUGGUCUGAGAGGACGACCAGCCACACUGGUGCUGAGACGCAGCCCAGACUCCUGCGGGAGGCAGCAGUGGGGAAUUUUGGACAAUGGGCGCAAGCCUGAUCCAGCCAUGCCGCGUGCGAGAAUAAGACCUUCGGGUUGUAAACCGCUUUUGUCAGGGAAGAAAAGGCUCGAACUAAUACUUUGGGCUCAUGACGGUACCUGAAGAAUAAGCACCGGCUAACUACGUGCCAGCCGCCGCGGUAAUAC
rnacentral:rRNA from 1 species